GACGAACGCUGGCGGCGUGCUUAACACAUGCAAGUCGAACGGAAAGGCCCUGCUUUUGUGGGGUGCUCGAGUGGCGAACGGGUGAGUAACACGUGAGUAACCUGCCCUGCACUUUGGGAUAACUUCAGGAAACUGGGGCUAAUACCGGAUAGGAGCUCCUGCUGCAUGGUGGGGGUUGGAAAUUUUCGGCGGUUGGGGAUGGACUCGCGGCUUAUCAGCUUGUUGGUGGGGUAGUGGCUUACCAAGGCUUUGACGUGUAGCCGGCCUGAGAGGGUGACCGGCCACAUUGGGAGUGAGAUACGGCACAGACUCCUACGGGAGGCAGAAGUGGGGAAUAGUGCACAAUGGGCGGAAGCCUGAUGCAGCAACGCCGCGUGCGGGAUGACGGCCUUCGGGUUGUAAACCGCUUUCGCCUGUGACGAAGCGUGAGUGACGGUAAUGGGUAAAGAAGCACCGGCUAACUACGUG
rnacentral:rRNA from 1 species